rnacentral:rRNA from 1 species
AUGGCGUUCUCCGACGAGUACAAGGGCAUGGAGGCCCACGGCAACACCAAGUUGCACGUUAUCCACACCAACGACAAGAAUAAGAUGACGAUCUCCCUCGCGCAGUACGAGCGCCACCUCAGGCUCCAACGCACAAGAUCGUCGGCAUUGAUGUGCACCGUCUUCGACAACUUCCUCGCCGACCCCAGGUACACCUUCGCUGGCUUCUCCAUCGACGGCGACAAAACUAGGCUAGAGCGCGUCAACCUAGAGGUCGCCAACUUCAUCGACAUCCAGAAGGAGUGGAGGGUGCCCGAGGCAACCAAGGAGUUGGACUCCCUUGGAUACGUCUCUGGCAUGCUCAUCGACAACUACUACAACAACAUGAAGAAGAAGAUCACUGAUGAUGAACACAAGCGCUGGGCCACCCUGCCUCUGUCCAUGAGGCACAUCGAGUACGCGGCAAAGGACGCUUAUGCUGCGUACAAGAUAUGGAACCGCAUCACCCUCACGUAG